rnacentral:rRNA from 1 species
GGCGUAAGCGCGCGUAGGUGGCCAAUUAAGUCAAAUGUGAAAUCCCCGAGCUUAACUUGGGAAUUGCAUUCGAUACUGGUUGGCUAGAGUAUGGGAGAGGAUGGUAGAAUUCCAGGUGUAGCGGUGAAAUGCGUAGAGAUCUGGAGGAAUACCGAUGGCGAAGGCAGCCAUCUGGCCUAAUACUGACACUGAGGUGCGAAAGCAUGGGGAGCAAACAGGAUUAGAUACCCUGGUAGUCCAUGCCGUAAACGAUGUCUACUAGCCGUUGGGGCCUUUGAGGCUUUAGUGGCGCAGCUAACGCGAUAAGUAGACCGCCUGGGGAGUACGGUCGCAAGACUAAAACUCAAAUGAAUUGACGGGGGCCCGCACAAGCGGUGGAGCAUGUGGUUUAAUUCGAUGCAACGCGAAGAACCUUACCUGGUCUUGACAUAGUAAGAGCUUUCCAGAGAUGGAUUGGUGCCUUCGGGAACUUACAUACAGGUGCUGCAUGGCUGUCGUCAGCUCGUGUCGUGAGAUGUUGGGUUAAGUCCCGCAACGAGCGCAACCCUUUUCCUUAUUUGCCAGCGGGUUAAGCCGGGAACUUUAAGGAUACUGCCAGUGACAAACUGGAGGAAGGCGGGGACGACGUCAAGUCAUCAUGGCCCUUACGACCAGGGCUACACACGUGCUACAAUGGUCGGUACAUAGGGUUGCUACCUCGCGAGAGGAUGCUAAUCUCAAAAAGCCGAUCGUAGUCCGGAUUGGAGUCUGCAACUCGACUC